rnacentral:rRNA from 1 species
CUGCGAGUGAAGCGGCAAAAGCUCAAAUUUGAAAUCUGACGUUCAUAUUGACGUUCGAGUUGUAAUUUGGAGGAGCGCCUUCGGGGGCCGACGCCGUUCUAAGUUCUUUUGGAACUGGACAUCACAGAGGGUGAGAAUCCCGUGCCUGGGCGGCAGUCUGGCUCCCAUACGAAGCGUUUCCGACGAGUCGAGUUGUUUGGGAAUGCAGCUCAAAAUGGGUGGUAAAUUUCAUCUAAAGCUAAAUACAGGCGAGAGACCGAUAGCGCACAAGUAGAGUGAUCGAAAGAUGAAAAGCACUUUGAAAAGAGAGUUAAACAGUACGUGAAAUUGUUGAAAGGGAAGCGCUUGAGAUUGAACUUAUCGACAGGAUGGAGCCGUGUGAGGGUCUCGGCCCUUGUACACCCCCUCCAUCCUCCCUCCAACCACCAUCGGUUCCGGCGGCGAGAAAAACGAUUGGGGAAUGUGGCUCCCCUCGGGGAGUGUUAUAGACCUAGCCGAUUUGCGCCAGCUGGGACCGAGGAAACGAGCGAGCGUGGGGAUUUUAUUAUCCUCAUGACCUCAAGGAUGUGUGGCAUGUCGAUCUUAAGCGACCCG